CCUACGGGUGGCAGCAGUGAGGAAUAUUGGUCAAUGGACGAGAGUCUGAACCAGCCAAGUAGCGUGAAGGAUGACUGCCCUAUGGGUUGUAAACUUCUUUUAUAUGGGAAUAAAAUGUUCCACGUGUGGGAUUUUGUAUGUACCCUAUGAAUAAGGAUCGGCUAACUCCGUGCCAGCAGCCGCGGUAAUACGGAGGAUCCGAGCGUUAUCCGGAUUUAUUGGGUUUAAAGGGAGCGUAGGUGGAUUGUUAAGGCAGUUGUGAAAGUUUGCGGCUCAACCGUAAAAUUGCAGUUGAAACUGGCAGUCUUGAGUACAGUAGAGGUGGGCGGAAUUCGUGGUGUAGCGGUGAAAUGCUUAGAUAUCACGAAGAACUCCGAUUGCGAAGGCAGUUCACUGGACUGCAACUGACACUGAGGCUCGAAAGUGUGGGUAUCAAACAGGAUUAGAUACCCCUGUAGUC
rnacentral:rRNA from 1 species